UGGGGAAUAUUGGACAAUGGGCGGAAGCCUGAUCCAGCAACGCCGCGUGAGGGAUGACGGCCUUCGGGUUGUAAACCUCUUUCAGUACCGACGAAGCGAAAGUGACGGUAGGUACAGAAGAAGCACCGGCCAACUACGUGCCAGCAGCCGCGGUAAUACGUAGGGUGCGAGCGUUGUCCGGAAUUAUUGGGCGUAAAGGGCUCGUAGGCGGUUUGUCGCGUCGGGAGUGAAAACACCGUGCUUAACACGGUGCUUGCUUUCGAUACGGGCAGACUAGAGGUAUGCAGGGGAGAACGGAAUUCCUGGUGUAGCGGUGAAAUGCGCAGAUAUCAGGAGGAACACCGGUGGCGAAGGCGGUUCUCUGGGCAUUACCUGACGCUGAGGAGCGAAAGUGUGGGGAGCGAACAGG
rnacentral:rRNA from 1 species